rnacentral:rRNA from 1 species
UACGUAGGGGGCUAGCGUUGUCCGGAAUCAUUGGGCGUAAAGCGCGUGUAGGCGGUCCGGUAAGUCCGCUGUGAAAGUCGGGGGCUCAACCCUCGGAUGCCGGUGGAUACUGUCGGGCUUGAGUACGGAAGAGGCGAGUGGAAUUCCUGGUGUAGCGGUGAAAUGCGCAGAUAUCAGGAGGAACACCUAUUGCGAAGGCAGCUCGCUGGGACGUAACUGACGCUGAGACGCGAAAGCGUGGGGAGCAAACAGG